GGAAGAUUAUUUUGAUGUUAGGACCAACAGGAAAGAGGGGUGUGUCGUUGUCUACACAGUACAAUAAUAAGACAUCCAUAUUUUGGAAAUAAAACAUUGCAAAUGAAUUCACACAGUUUUGGAGGGUGCAUUAGACAUGGAAACAACAUUCACAGAAGCAGGCUGAGGAAGUCCCCAUUUAUCACAGAACUGAUCUUUUUUUGCUGUGAGGGCCAACCGGAAGGAAGGAUGUGUGCUUUAGCGACUCUUCCAUGAUAAAAGGAAGGUGUGGUGGAUUGGGACAAGAGUGUCUUCAAUUGAUAUCGCGUAAAAUUUGGUUAGCAAUGGAAAAAUCAGGAACUAUAUCCACCGGAACCUGAACAGUCUCCAGCUUUUCCAGUGCGUGUUUCAGUGGUGAUGUCAUCACACCAUAUUUCUGAAGAAGUGUUUUAGCAGCUUCUUUGUCACCUCUUGCUUGUAUUGUCAGAAUUUCUCUGCUUAAGCUCGCAACACUAUCUUCAACCUUCCCAAAAUCAACACCAAAUGUUUUAUCGGGAUGCAAAAUAAAUGCGCCUUUCUCGAACAGAUAAUUGAACUGCAAUGCCUGCCCUUUCCCAUGAGCUUCCUCUAAUCCAAAGCGUACUGAGCGGAAACAUCCAGCAAGAAAAGAGACAUACAUUGACUUUGCCAGGUUCUUUGGAAGCAAAUCCUUAUCCAUUAGAAACCUAAGCGCCCAAAGCCCAACAAUAUCUGCCUUUGCUUCUUCUAGUGAUGAAUGAAGUUCUUGCAGCUCUAGUCUGACUGUCGACUUCUGCCCAUUCGGAAGUGUAAUUGUGUGAGGCCCGAUUCCAUGGCAGCAUUCAUGACAAAUUGUGUGAGUAAAGAAAGAGUCGAAGUCCACAAGCUCUCGUUGUUCUUCCAUAAUACAGACAUCAGCUAUAGGCUUAAGGAUAAGCUUGAACUUUGCUUCUGAAACAUUCUUAAGCAUG
rnacentral:misc_RNA from 1 species